rnacentral:rRNA from 1 species
AGAGAGAGACAUGCGUGCAUAUCAAUAAGCGGAGGAAAAGAAACUAACAAGGAUUCCCCUAGUAACGGCGAGUGAAGCGGGAAGAGCUCAAAUUUGAAAUCUUAAAGGGUUUCCCUUUACGAAUUGUAGUUUAAAGAAGUGUUUUCUGCUUGAGGUUUUGGUAAAAGUUCUUUGGAAUAGGACAUCAUAGAGGGUGAGAAUCCCGUAUUUGACCUCUACUUUCAACUUUGUGAUACACUUUCAAAGAGUCGGAUUGUUUGGGAAUGCAGUCCAAAAUGGGUGGUAAAUUUCAUCUAAAGCUAAAUAUUGGCGAGAGACCGAUAGCGAACAAGUACCGUGAGGGAAAGAUGAAAAGAACUUUGAAAAGAGAGUUAAACAGUACGUGAAAUUGUCAAAAGGGAAGCGUUUGACACCAGUGUUGUUUUUCUGAAAAUCAAUUAAAGAACUGUUUAUGCUAAGUUGUUUAGACUUUAUCAGCUAACUGUUUAGUUUUGAGCUUUUCUUUAAUGCACUUUUCAGUUAACAAGUCAACAUCAAUUUCUUUUGCUGUAAAAAAGCUUGAGGAAGGUGGCUUGAGAUUCGUCUUAAGUGUUUAUAGCCUCUUGCCUAUGCAGUCGGAGAGAUUGAGGUCUGCAGCGUAGAUCCUUCGGGGCUAAAUGCAUUUGUGCUAAGUUAUAGCAUUUUAUAGACAACUUGUUGACUAUGAUUUGUCUUGUAGCUUACUCGCUUAUGUUAUUUUACCUACGCUUAGGAUGUUGACGCAUGAGAUAUACGC